rnacentral:rRNA from 1 species
UACGAAGGGUGCAAACGUUGCUCGGAAUUAUUGGGCGUAAAGAGCUUGUAGGCGGUUUGUCGCGUCUGCUGUGAAAUCUCAAGGCUCAACCUUGAGCUUGCAGUGGGUACGGGCAGACUAGAGUGUGGUAGGGGAGACUGGAAUUCCUGGUGUAGCGGUGAAAUGCGCAGAUAUCAGGAGGAACACCGAUGGCGAAGGCAGGUCUCUGGGCCACUACUGACGCUGAGAAGCGAAAGCGUGGGGAGCGAACAGG